rnacentral:lncRNA from 1 species
GUAGUUUCCACAGUAGCACGGUACAUCUGUUCCUGUGUGUCCGCAGGGCUCUGGAAUCAUCUUCUAUGUGACCUUGGGACGGCACAGAUCAUGCAUCUGGGUGCAAUGGGUGCCCCGAGAAUGCCCCGCGGAUCGGCGACGGUGGAGAGCCGGGCGUGGUGCCAGCCUAGGGCCAAGCCUCCCGGGACCUCAGCAGAUGGAUGAUCUCACCAUGAUCUCACCUUGGAGGGGGAGCAGAAAGAACCAGAAUAAGGAGAAGAUUGUGAGCCCCGGUGACAGGAAGGCCCAGAGCUCCCUGGGAGUGCUGGACUCUGUGACUCAGGGAUGCACACACUGUGUGUGUGACCUUUGACCUGUGAACUGGUCUGAGGCAAAGCAGUCUGCGGCAGUGGCCUUCAUGUGCUACACUAUGCAGCACAUCUAUGGAGAUUGCACCUCCAGUGAAAGCCCAGCUCCCCACCCCACCCCCGCCACCAUGGACUUGUAUGUGUGAAUGGGGGUGAGCAGGGAGCAGAGGCAGGGCACACAGCUGGUAUUCAUUGCCUUAGUUACACAGCUACUACAACCAUCUGCAGAGACUUCUCUUGUAUGCGAUGGCAACUCUUCUGGAAAAACUGAUUGCCCUGGUUGUAGAAGAGGCGAUGAUCCCAAGCAAUAAAAUCACCAUAG